UAGAGUUUGAUCAUGGCUCAGAUUGAACGCUGGCGGCAGGCUUAACACAUGCAAGUCGAGCGGUAGCACAGGGGAGCUUGCUCCCUGGGUGACGAGCGGCGGACGGGUGAGUAAUGUCUGGGAAACUGCCUGAUGGAGGGGGAUAACUACUGGAAACGGUAGCUAAUACCGCAUAACGUCGCAAGACCAAAGAGGGGGACCUUCGGGCCUCUUGCCAUCAGAUGUGCCCAGAUGGGAUUAGCUAGUAGGUGGGGUAAUGGCUCACCUAGGCGACGAUCCCUAGCUGGUCUGAGAGGAUGACCAGCCACACUGGAACUGAGACACGGUCCAGACUCCUACGGGAGGCAGCAGUGGGGAAUAUUGCACAAUGGGCGCAAGCCUGAUGCAGCCAUGCCGCGUGUGUGAAGAAGGCCUUCGGGUUGUAAAGCACUUUCAGCGAGGAGGAAGGUGGUGAGCUUAAUACGCUCAUCAAUUGACGUUACUCGCAGAAGAAGCACCGGCUAACUCCGUGCCAGCAGCCGCGGUAAUACGGAGGGUGCAAGCGUUAAUCGGAAUUACUGGGCGUAAAGCGCACGCAGGCGGUUUGUUAAGUCAGAUGUGAAAUCCCCGGGCUCAACCUGGGAACUGCAUUUGAAGCUGGCAAGCUAGAGUCUCGUAGAGGGGGGUAGAAUUCCAGGUGUAGCGGUGAAAUGCGUAGAGAUCUGGAGGAAUACCGGUGGCGAAAGCGGCCCCCUGGACGAAGACUGACGCUCAGUGCGAAAGCCGU
rnacentral:rRNA from 1 species